AUUGAACGCUGGCGGCAGGCCUAACACAUGCAAGUCGAGCGAGAGGCGGACGGGUGAGUAAUGUCUGGGAAACUGCCUGUUGGAGGGGGAUAACUACUGGAAACGGUAGCUAAUACCCCAUACCAUCAGAUGUGCCCACAUGGGAUUAGCUAGUAGGUGGGGUAACGGCUCACCUAGGCGACGAUCCCUAGCUGGUCUGAGAGGAUGACCAGCCACACUGGAACUGAGACACGGCCCAGACUCCUACGGGAGGCAGCAGUGGGGAAUAUUGCGCAAUGGGCGCAAGCCUGAUGCAGCCAUGCCGCGUGUGUGAAGAAGGCCUUCGGGUUGUAAAGCACUUUCAGCGGGGAGGCGUUACCCGCAGAAGAAGCACCGGCUAACUCCGUGCCAGCAGCCGCGGUAAUUC
rnacentral:rRNA from 1 species